UUAAUGACGCAUCAUCAAGAACAUUGAGUGUCAACGCUUUCUUCUAUUUUGAAAAAUUCUCGAAUGGGAAGAAACGAGCGAGAUUUUUGUCCAUUUUUAUUUCCCUCCGCCGUCUAUGGCGCCUAUCCAUCUUCUUCUCCGUCGUCAACCACUUCACCUCCGUCGUCAACCACUUCACCUCCCCCAUCUUAUUCCUGCACCCAUUCUUCUUCUUCUUCGCUGAGUAUUACUUCUCCUUUCGCAUUUCCUUCAACUGCAGAAUUUUCUUCAACGGCCAAUUUUAAUCAACAAUGCACCGAAGAAAUUGAAGUCCAUGGAUCCAGCAAUACCAUCAACUUUCUCCAGGAAUUCAGACUACCUCGACCGCCUCCGGCGCUAGCUCCAGCUGCCAGAAACCAGCAGCCAGCAAAUAUGUCGCAAUCAGGUGGAGGAUUUGAUAUGAAUGUACUGGUUCAAGGAGCACAAAUUCGAUGGUUAAAGCCGGCUGAAGUUCUGUUUAUAUUACAGAAUCAUGAAAACUAUGAGCUUAGUCAAGAGCAAGCUCAAAAGCCUAUUGGCGGAUCUUUAUUUCUUUACAAUAAAAGAGUGGUUAGAUUCUUCCGUAGAGAUGGUCAUAAUUGGCGUAAAAAGAAGGAUGGGCGAACUGUUGGCGAAGCACAUGAGCGACUUAAGGUUGGAAACGUUGAAGCUUUAAAUUGUUAUUAUGCACAUGGAGAACAAAAUUCAAAGUUUCAGAGACGUAGCUACUGGAUGCUCGACCCGGCAUUUGAGCAUAUUGUUCUGGUUCACUACAGAGAUAUUAGUGAGGUAAAGAACUCUUCUGGAUCUGCUCCACAGUUAUCACCUUCCACUUUCAGUCCAAGUCCAACAUCUUAUACUACUCAGAAUCAAGAUUCUAGCUCAGGAGUUAGUGGUUUUCAUAACCCAUAUCGCAAUUUAUCUAGUCCAAGCUCUAUAGAAGAUAGUUCAGAGGUAGUCACAAAAGAUGAUGGAUUAGACAAUACAGUAGAGUUUACUAGUUCUGGAAACGAUGAGAUUAGUCAUUUUUUGAGAAAGCUGGAGGAGCAAUUGAGUUUGAAUGAGGACAAUAUCAGCGAAAUUGCUCCAAUCUACAAUCAGGAAGGAGCCACAAAUGAUCCAGGACUUCUUGUUUAUGAAGGGCAGUUCUCUGAGAACAUUCUCUCUAAAAACUCACUGAAUGGAUCAGAAUAUAUUGCAAAUGAUCAAGGUUAUUGUGGACAUGCCAGGAUGCAGCUGCAGUCGAACAAUUUUGUUCAGCUUCAAAAUGCUGGCAAUUCUGGCGCUUACCAUCAGUCAUAUUCGCAAGAGCAUGUAGAUGGAAGUAAAGAGUCUGCAUCUUGGAAUGAAACUCUGGAAUAUCAGGCAAAGCCCCAGUCACCUUUGAGAGAACCUGAUGGAGGACAUGAUUGGCUAAAUUUCAGUGAAAAUAAUGUCAGGAACUUUGAUAAUUUUGAAAUUCCUACUCACUCUUCCGUCACGGACACCUAUGAUGCACAUCCUGACUAUUUCUCAAUGCUAUAUGAUCAAAGCGGGCUUUUAUUGCCAAUUGAGGCAGAUUUGAGUUUGACUGUUGCAGAACUGCAGAAAUUCACAAUUCGUGAAAUAUCCCCCGAAUGGGGUUAUAGUGCUGAGGCUACAAAGGUCAUUGUUAUUGGAUCUUUUCUCUGUGAUCCGUCAGAAUCUGCAUGGACAUGCAUGUUUGGUGAUAUUGAGGUUCCUGUUGAAAUUGUUCAAGAAGGUGUUUUGCGCUGUGAAGCUCCUCCCAAUCUUCCAGGAAAGGUCACUUUUUGCAUUACUACCGGCAAUCGGGAGUCCUGCAGUGAGAUAAGAGAAUUUGAAUAUCGUUCUAAGAGUGGAAGCUGCUCUCGUUGCAACAACGAAAUGGAAGAUGCUAAGAAUCCAGAUGAAUUGUUGCUGCUUGUCAGAUUUGUGCAGAUGCUUUUAUCUGAUUUGUCUAUGCACAAAGAUGAGGGCAUAGAAACUGGAAUAGAAUUAUUGAGAAAAUUAAAAACAGAUGAUGAUUCAUGGGGUAGCAUAAUAGAGGCUCUUUUAGUUGGGAGUUUAACUUCAUCUAGUACUGUUAAUUGGCUUCUGCAACAGCUUGUAAAAGACAAAUUGCAGCAGUGGCUUUCUUCCAAGCCCCAGGAAUUACAAAAUCAAACUAGCUGUACCUUGUCCAAGAAAGAGCAGGGAAUCAUACACAUGAUUUCUGGGUUGGGCUUUGAGUGGGCCUUGAGUCCAAUUCUCAGUCAUGGAGUCAGUAUUGAUUUCCGUGACCUAAAUGGGUGGACUGCUCUUCAUUGGGCUGCUCGUUUUGGAAGGGAAAACAUGGUUGCAGCCCUUUUAGCCUCUGGUGCAUCAGCUGGGGCUGUUACGGAUCCCACUGCACAGGAUCCAAUUGGAAAAACACCAGCUUCAAUUGCAGCCAAUAACGGCCAUAAGGGGCUUGCUGGUUAUCUGUCAGAGUUGGCGUUAACUAGUCAUCUUUCAUCCCUUGUACUAGAAGAAAGUGAGCUUUCUAAAGGAUCAGCUCAGAUUGAAGCUGAGAAAACUUUAGAUAGCAUCACAACGGGAAGCUUUGACGCCAAUGAUGACCAAGUUUCUCUUAAAAAUACAUUGGCUGCAGUGCGGAAUGCAGCUCAGGCUGCUGCGAGAAUACAAGCUGCUUUCAGAGCACAUUCUUUCACGAAGAGGCAGCAGAAAGAAGCUGCUAGCUCUGUUAAUAUUAUAGAUGAGUAUGGUAUCAAUGUUGGUGACGUUCGAGACCUUUCUGCAGUGUCAAAACUGGCAUUUCGCAAUACCCGAGAUUACAAUUCAGCUGCUUUGUCAAUCCAGAAGAAGUAUAGAGGAUGGAAAGGUCGCAAGGAUUAUCUAGCUUUUAGACAGAAAGUAGUGAAGAUACAGGCUCAUGUGAGAGGUUAUCAAGUUAGGAUGCAUUACAAAAUAAUCCUUUGGGCUGUUGAUUGCAAUCACGAAAAUGUGUAGAAUUGGUGCAGCCAGUGGUGAAUUAAUAUAGUUAAUUGAGAGGUACUCACUUAGUUUAGGCAUACGGUUUUUAAUAUUUUCUUAAAAAAUUGUUUUUUCCUUUUUUUUGUAUUAAAGAUUACAAAAAGGUGAUGGAAAAAGGUCGUCAUGUAGGAGGACACGACAUGGUGUAUCUGUCCAUAGCCUUGUCGUAGUGACGCCACGUAGCAAACUCCCGCCUCUCGGCACACAGUUUUAAACUCCAUAUCGCUCCAUUCUGCAAAAACUUGUUGCUUUUUUUUCAUUUAAAAUAUCAAUCAAAAAACAAUACUAACAUUUACUAAUCUAUGGAUUCAAAUCAAAAAUUGGAACCUGUUGAUCGGACAAUCCAGAGGGUACUGGAAGCAAAACAAGACAUAGAAGCUUCAGCUUUUGGUAGUAGGAAUCUCCAACAAGAUGAUGACUACCUCGCUCUCAAUAAAUUACUCUCUCAGUUGGAAGCAGUGAGACAAGGUUGCACACAUAAGGAAUCCAAAUCAUCAACUGAACAAAAAGAAAAGUUAGGUGGUGUAGAACUAGAAGAGAUAAUGAAGGAGCUUAAAAGAGUGAAGUGGCAAAACUCGGUGACUCAGUUGCUUGUUUCAGCUUUGAUUAUCAUAACUGUGGUGAGGCAAGUGUCUGAGGUGUCACUGUUUUUGAAAGUGAAAGAUGAACUGAGUCACCCUUUUAGAUCCUUCGGAAGUUUAUUGUUCUCCAUGAUGGGAUUAAAUAAAAAAGAUGGAGAAAAAGAAGAGCAAAAAGAAGAAUCUCCUCUCCAUUUGCCAGAGCUUCCUAAUAUUCUUGAUUUAGGGUUUAAUAACGGUGAGAAGAAGGAAUAAUGUUAUUACAAAACUACCACUAGAAACCAAAUGUACGUGACCUUGUUUUCUGCUGUAUGUUUGCUAGUUUGUAUAAGUUAGUCAAUUAUAAACAUAUACACAUUGUUCAAACUAGCCUGUUUGUUGGGUUGGGUCAUUUAAAUUUAAUUAGCGGCUGCUUUUGAUA